UCUCUGGAUAGGGGGAUUUGGAAAGAUUCAAAAGCAAAGCUGUGAACAGUGGAAGAAAUGAUGGAACAUGUUUAUAAAGAAUACUGGAUAUCCACGAGGCUGCCACAACUUUCUCUUUGUCACGAACCAGGGAUAACUUCUUUGUCCUCCUCUUUGGCUUGACAUACUGUAUGGAAACUGUUAGGUCAUAGCCCGAACAAGUGAUUGAGCACCUGCUGAAGGGGCAUGGCCAGACCUGGGAGCACAGGUGCAAGCAAUUCACUUGUGCAACCGGAAGGAGUGGACCCAGACCCCACCCCGCCCUAACCUCAUCUAAGGGCUGGCAACCAAAGGAGGAGUGUCUCGGCUUGGAGAUUACCUCCUAUCAAAGUUUCCAGUGAAUGCUGGUCCUUGGAAAGGGAAGUUACCUCUGUCUCUUGACAUGAUACUCAGAUACCCACAGUUUGGACUUGGGCUAAAGCCUCUGGGAAGCUGUGUAAUGUAAAUAAGUGUCAUUCCCGUAGGCCAUGGGCUUAUGCUGCAGUGAGUACAGAAGACAUUGUUCCAUGGCACCGAUUUUUCCUCAUGGCUGAGAGGAUACUGGGUUUUAUUGUCCCUGUGAAUUUCAAAAGAACAGCUAUUGUAAACACUACAACUGGAGGCUGGGAAUGAAAGGACAACCUUCUGUGAAGGACUUAAAGGGUGAGGCAAACCUUAGGAGCUUAGGCUGGAAAGGAGUUCAGCUUGCCCAUUUACUUCACACUCCAGCAAGAGCAAGUACUAACAGACCAUCUCUACAAAGGUUUUGGGAUGAAAUAUUCAUUUCUGAAUGUGAGAUGAACUGCAAGACUGAAUCAUGCACUGCAAUAGCAAUAACCUGCUGUCCAUGAAGAUGCCAUCCAAACACCUCAUUCUUAUAGUGAUGCCAGUAUUUUACGUGGUUAUCUUGAAUUUUGUCCCACCAACUUUCCAGAAUCAGAAUCAUCUCCUUUUUUUCCCCCUAAAACUGCAGAGACUUAUAUAACUGUAGAAUGGAUAAAGCAAAGCAAAUGCAAGUAAUACAUAAAUGUAAAUAAAAUAAUUAAUGUAAGUAAAGCCCCUCUGACUGCUACAGCUGUUGCCAUGAUCGUUCUAGUUCAGCAAUUUGUUUGCCUGACUGAAAAGAUCAUUGGCCUACCUUGGUUUGAUCCAAAACACGUAAAAGACCUCUAAAACUAGCUUUAAUUACAAAACAGGUGUAAAAGCUUUUCAUUAAAUUCUAUUAAAAAACUGAUGAUGUAGCCAUUUUGUAUGACAGCAGGAAUGAGUAAGCUGAGAAAAUGGAUGGUUUCGGAGAAAACAGAGAUCUCUCAUUAUGAUUCUUAAAUUUAUUUACCCAAAUAAUUUAUAACACCAGUUUAAAAAGACUGAAAAAUAACUGGAAAAUGAGCCCACUUUACAGAAGCUAUGUCAGGGAAGAGGACUAAGAAAUUAAGUAUUCUAUCAGUUAAUAGAACUAACUGGAGAUGGAGUUCAGGAGGAACUGUUUUACAAAUAACGAUUUAAUACCUCAAAGUGACUCCUUACAGAUAUAUAGAUGUAAAGGCUACUGUGUUUAUUUAUUAAAACUAACUAUUUUUGGAAAAAAUAUUUCUUUUCACUUCUUUUAUCUCUCUGGAACUCUUGGAAUCCCCAUUCACUCUAAACUCUCCAUGAAAGUGAAGAUAUGUUUGUUCUUACAACUGUAUUUUCCACUUCACUGAGAAGUAAAGGAAAAAUAUAUAGAUUUUUUUUCUCCCUUUUAAGCACUUCCCUGUUUUGCAUCUUUGGAUAACAUCAAAAGCAGAGAUGAUAAAAUUAGAAUAGAUGCAUGUUCUACCCAACCUACCCUGAUGCAAUUAAUAAUUAAGAUCAAAUGGCUUGUAAAAUACCUACCAGUAUGAUUAAAAUGCUAUGAAAAGGUUGCUGUAAGAAUAAUUGCUUUUUGUUUAAUGUAACCAAAAACAAAUCCAUGGUUCAAUAUCUUUUGUGUUGUAUGUUUUCUGUUUUAAAAUUAAUGUGACAUAAGGCAUUCUUUAUGCUAAUGUUAUAGCUCCUUGGAUGAGUUUAACACCAUUAUCUUCUUUAAUGAAUAAUUCAUUCCCUGUUGAAAACUUAACUAUAUCAUUUUUACAGUGUGUAAAUGAAACUUUGAAGUGCAAUUUAACUUUAAAGAACUUCAGAUUAUAGAGAAUUCUCAUAAACCACAAAAAAUAUGCUGUGCUAGUAAUACUGUCUUGUACUGAAGCGUAAUCACGAUAUGGUGUGCAUGUUUGUAACUUUUAAUUUUUCUGCUUAAAAAAAUCUU